CUUGAUCGAGCCGAGCCACAGCGGACGGUCCGCGGGCCGAUCCUGUCCGUAGGUGGCGAGCAGCGCCUGCGCCUC
rnacentral:antisense_RNA from 1 species